rnacentral:tRNA from 1 species
GGGCCCGUAGCCUAGAAUGGACGAGGGCGCCGAAGGGCAUGCGCAAGCCUUCGGGCCUCCUAGGCAGAGAAAAAGGUGGGAAGACAGCCGGAGGUCGUGGGUUCAAGUCCCACCGGGCCCG